GAUGAAGAACGUAGCGAAAUGCGAUAAGUAAUGCGAAUUGCAGAAUUUCCGUGAGUCAUCGAAUCUUUGAACGCACAUUGCGCCCCUUGGUAUUCCAUGGGGCAUGCCUGUUCGAGCGUCAUUUGUACCUUCAAGCUUUGCUUGGUGUUGGGUGUUUGUCCCGAGGGACUCGCCUUAAAGUAAUUGGCAGCCAGUGUUUGGUUUUGAAGCGCAGCACAAGUCGCGAUUCAAGGCUACACGCCCGCUUCCACAAGCCUUUUUUCACUUUUGACCUCGGAUCAGGUAGGGAUACCCGCUGAACUUAAGCAUAUCAAUAAGCGGAGGA
rnacentral:misc_RNA from 1 species